GGCCUGUUAGCUCAGUCGGCAGAACGUGGUGCUAAUAACGCUAAGGUCGUGAGUUCGAUCCUCACCCAGGCCA
rnacentral:tRNA from 1 species